rnacentral:lncRNA from 1 species
AUAGUCUAUAGUCACAUGGCCAAUAAAUUAAGAAGCUAGGGCUACAACCAGUUUUCUGGGACCCAGGCCUUUUUUUUCUUUCCUCCUAGAGAUCGAGUUUUCCAAUUAAAAAAAAAAAUUAAGACUUGCCCACUCACCUUGAGUGUCCCUCUGUAACUGUUAGCCACAGGGGCUACCUGGUCCAUAUUCUUGAUUCCGAAAUCAUUCAUCUUAAAAAAGAAAAAAAAAAAGUCAAAGAGGCAAAAGAUUAAGUACACUAAACUCAUCAUUGGUGGCAUCAAGACUUGAUCCUGGCUGAGUUCUACAGCUAACAGAUGUCACAGAAAAAGUCACUUGCUGGCUGGCUG